AGACACAACAGAUGGAGAUAGAUUUAUAGGACUGUUCUCACGGCGAGAUGUAAGCAGCAUUGCUUUCCCAAGCUCCAUAAACAGAUGGUUAAUAUGGUAAGAAAGUGACCUCAUCAUGUCACAGCAGGACAAAUGCUCAGAUCUUUUCUUGUCCUCUUCUGACUUCGCAUUUGCAUCAGAUGAACUGGAUGGCUGAUCCUGGGAACUUGAGGGCAACCCUGUACUAGGGUAUCUAUCAGCACCAACUCUGUGAGAGUCGCUAGCUGCACGGCCCAUAUCACGAUAGAUAUUGAUAAGGUCAGACACCUGAGACUCAAUGUUCCACCCAGAGCCCCGUCGCCUUAAAAGAGGAUCAAGAUAUUGCCUAAAGGAGGUGUAUCUGUUAUCACCAGUGUCGCCCACAGCAGCAUCAACUUGCUGGGCCUCAUUUGCUGAAGGAGAACUGGCUUCAGGCUCUAUUUUCUUCUCAUCAAAAAGUGAAAUUUGCCAAAGCACUUCCCGGUGAACUCUUCCAAUAUCUUCCAGGACAUCCCUGCUGACAUCUCCAAAUUCUGAGAGUAGAGCAUUCAUCCAGCGGUUGUCUUUUGAUGCCGCUAGGAAUAGCAGAAAUUCAACAAUAAAAAGUGACGGAAUGGCUCCUUUUUCCAACUUAGUCACUUCACAUGACCUAAAAACUGUAUCAAGUUCCUGUAGGGCAUUCUUCAAGUGCUCCUUUAAAGAGGAGCAAAAUGCACGCGCAAGUGGAGUAGAAUGCUGUUGAGUAAAGCCCUUAAAUACCAUAGUGCUGUGCAAAGCAAUAGGCAUCCCACCAGAAGAUUGGGUGAUGGUAGGUCGCAGCAAGAGUGUCAACAGAGUCUGUAGACCUCCCUUUUCUACAAACAGCCUGCAAGUUUCUGAGUUUUCCAUUGUCCUGUGCACCAAUACCAUAACAUGGAAAAUGCUCAAAUGAGAAAACUGCUCAUCAUUAGUUCCAUCUGUGCCAGAAUCCAUGGCACUUACUAAAUCACGCCCUUCAACAUCUGUUUCCAUAUCUGUUUUUUCUUCAGCGCUGGCUGCUUCAGUGAUUUUAUCACCACGAGGACAAGAAAGUUUGUUGAUUAUUUCAAUGAUGAUGUCAACACCAGUACUUCUAAGGGACUGCACAUGACGAAGAAGCUCUUCCACUGCAUUUGCUAAAAGAACAACACCUUCAUUCAUUGGUAUCAAAUAUUUCCUACUAGUGAACGUCUCUACAAGAAAACGCAGCGCUGAAGUUUCCCUGACAGACUCAAGUCCUUGGUUAUUAAGGCAGAUUGCGCCCAGGCCAUUGGGUACACAUAUAAGUGCUUUACAAGAUGGUAUCGCCCCAGCAGUCACUGAUGACAGGAAAGCAUCAGGAAGACCAAGUUCCUUCAAAGCAGGAAAGCAUGUAGGAUCCUUAUGUAUUAUCUCACUCAUAACAGUAACUGAAGAGAAGUAUAUAUCACCACCAAACUUUCCAACAUUCUGGAAUAUAAGGGAAAGUGACAUGGGCAAAGAGUUAUCAUUGGAACUUUGAGAGCGAGCAGGAUUCGCAGGAGAAUAUGUAGCGGAACCUAAUGCCUUGAGCAAAGCCUUAAUCAGUCGCUUCUGUGAGUACAGAUGGUCAUCUUCUGAUUUCGAUGUAUCACUAGCAACCACUGAAGUAAUUUCAGCAACACCAAUAACACGCUGCACCUCCACAUGUAACCUCUGAGACAAAAGUUCUACACCACCCAAAUCUUUAAACAGGGAAACAGCAGGGCUGCUGUACUCCAUCAGCUUCUGAAGGGUCUUUACUGCCAAACAGACAAGAUGCAUGUGGGAAGGAUCCUUAUCUUGCAGGAGAGGCAGGAGAGGUGGAACCAUCCCUGAACCCCUAACGGUCGUCCCAGAACUCGAAGAUGACAGCACAUGAAGCAAAAAGAACUGUAGAAGGGCAUCAACAAUUAAAGGAGAUGAAGUAUCAUUAGGGCUACUGAGGGACGAUAUUGCUUUCUGCAGAACACUGAGCAAGACCAUGCGGUUUCCACCAGCAGAGAUGAUACUUGAACCGCUCAGUAUCCUAGCUCGCUCAUGAGAUGAUGCAUAUGCUGCUAACUGUGCUCCCAGUGCAAGCAUAGCCAAUGCACGAAUGGGCCCAGGAACAAUAUCUUCUGACCGAACAAGCCGGAUUAACUCAUUUAUGUACUCCGGCUCAUUUGUGAAGAACGAUGUCAGCUCAUCAUGGGCAUCACUGGAUUGCACGAGAACAAUGAAAGAAAGGAGACUUAUGCGGCUAUAUAGCCUGCAUGUCCUCGGAGAAUUAAAAGCAUGUGCAUAUCUUAUCCUUGUAAACAAGGCAAACCGGUGCUCUGGAGGCACAUUAAACUUGUCGAUACAUUGCUUCAAUAUGCUCAAGUCAUCCUCCUUCCGAAGGUGCAGGUCUGGCAUAUGUAUCACACAGAGAUUAGAUGACUUGUCAUU
rnacentral:lncRNA from 1 species